rnacentral:rRNA from 1 species
GCUGGCGGCGCGCUUAACACAUGCAAGUCGAACGAGAAAGCAGGAGCAAUCUUGUGAGUAAAGUGGCGUACGGGUGAGUAACACGUGGAUCAUCUACCUCUUUGUGGGGGAUAACCCUGGGAAACCGGAGCUAAUACCGCAUAAGUCCGUGAGGAGAAAGCAGCAAUGCGCAGAGAGAGGAGUCCGCGGCCGAUUAGUUAGUUGGUAGGGUAAAAGCCUACCAAGACAAAGAUCGGUAGCCGGCCUGAGAGGGCACACGGCCACACUGGCACUGAAACACGGGCCAGACUCCUACGGGAGGCAGCAGUGGGGAAUCUUGCACAAUGGGGGCAACCCUGAUGCAGCGACGCCGCGUGAGCGAUGAAGCCCUUCGGGGUGUAAAGCUCUUUCGGCAGGGAAGAUUAUGACGGUACCUGCAGAAGCAGCUGCGGCUAACUACGUGCCAGCAGCCGCGGUAAUACGUAGGCAGCGAGCGUUGUUCGGAGUUACUGGGCGUAAAGGGUGUGUAGGCGGUUUUCUAAGUCUGGUGUGAAAUCUCCCGGCUCAACUGGGA